UUUUUUGAUCUUAUUUGAUACCAGUCUGCAAUACAAUAUGGAUGCUUCUUAUUUUUGGUGAAAGUACUAUAUUAUGCCUAAUUAUUUUAUGUUACCGAUAACCAUAUCUAGGGGUGACUAUGGUGAGUGGAUUACUUUUCUUGCUCUGUUGAUGCGUCUAUUUUUCUUCUUUGCGGGUAGAGUAGCAAACAUGGUUCAAAUAUGAGUACUUUUUAGAUUUUUUAUGUCUGCUAAUAAUCAAAUUUGUACUUGUUUUUGAGAUAACUGAAUGCUACAUUUUUUAAGGGAACAAAAUAUACCUUGCGCCCAACCUGAACAAAUUUUAUUACUUACUGGAAUCAUUCAUUUGUAUGACUGAAGAAAAAGAAAAGGGACACUUCACAUCUUUGUAGCAUUGAUUCUGAACCGAUUUAUAUUUAGGUCUACCCAGUUUAUUAUGCCUAAAAUAUGAUUAUUGUAGCUUAAUUGGAGCUUCCGCUGUCAACAAUUAUUCUUGUGAGUGUUGAUCCUUACCAAUUCAUCGAUAUGAGGUAUGGAAGAUUUCAACAUUUGCCCUGAUGCAUAUCCAGAUGAAGUUUUGUUUACACAACUUUUUAUUAACUAAAAUAUAUGAACAUUCCGGUUAAACAAGUAGUAAUCAUUUUUUUCAAUGUAGUACUGAACUGUGUUCUACGCGAAUAUCAGGCUUAUGUCU
rnacentral:lncRNA from 7 species